GCUUUGCUAGUUAAAUUGUACCUAGAUUACUUGGAUUACUCUGAAUUUGCACUAUCUUGGCAAUUACCCUGUUUGCCAAGUUAGUUUCACUCAAGCCAAGGUUUGUCAAGCCACACCUCCAACAAUCAGCCACUUUUGUGUAAUCAAGAUCUGGGAGGGCCUGUUUCACUGGACAGCAGGUAUAUAAGAGCUUACUACAGUCUUAAUUACUUCAGAGAAAGCUAGAGGGCUUUAAGGACUGUGUGUGUGUAGUUAUGUACUGCUUUGCUAGUUAAAUUGUACCUAGAUUACUUGGAUUACUCUGAAUUUGCACUAUCUUGGCAAUUACCCUGUUUGCCAAGUUAGUUUCACUCAAGCCAAGGUUUGUCAAGCCACACCUCCAACAAUCAGCCACUUUUGUGUAAUCAAGAUCUGGGAGGGCCUUCAGCCAGGUGCAAUCAGUGAGCAUGCUACUUCCAUAGGGCUGCUGCUGAAGCGUCAGCGGAAGUGUCAGCCCUCGUGCUCAGCCCUUUUCGUGUGAAGACCUUUUUGGGUAAAGACGUACAAGUCUACCUGUACAAGACCUUUUUGGGUAAAGACGUACAAGUCUACCUGUACAAGACCUUUUUGGGUAAAGACGUACAAGUCUACCUGUACAAGACCUUUUUGGGUAAAGACGUACAAGUCUACCUGUACAAGUCCACCGAAACAAGGUUCACAAACAAGGUAAACUUUUUCAUUUUGACUCUGCCAUAGCCAUGUGUCACAGUAGCAUCUCUGUUGUCACUGGUUGUCAAAAAAGAUCACAGCGCAGCAGACGGCAGCGCAACCUGGGUAACCUCCGCUCACUUCAACAAACCUCAUCUACUGUAACCUCUUUCUCUGUUGGCCUGUGGAACUGUCAGUCUGCAGUCAAGAAAGCUGAUUUCAUCUCAGGUUAUGCCAACCACCUCUCCCUAGGGCUCUUAGCUCUCACGGAGACAUGGAUCACACCUGAAGACAAUGCUACCCCGGCAGCACUCUCCACCAACUAUGCCUUCUCCCAUACUCCCCGGCCAUCUGGUCGUGGAGGUGGGACGGGGCUGCUGAUUUCAGACAACUGGAAAUUCACUCCACUGCUGCCUUCAAACAGGUAUGCCUCCUUUGAAUAUCAUGCAAUUAUGGUAACUGCUCCUGUUAAAACUUAUGUGAUUGUUAUCUACCGUCCACCAGGACAGCAGGGUGAUUUCAUCCAUGAGCUGGACACCCUGCUGUCAUCCAUCCCUGAGCAGGAGUGUCCAACACUCAUCCUUGGCGACAUGAACAUCCACCUAGACAAUCCCAACUCAGCUGACUUUCGAACCCUGGUUCACUCGUUCGACCUACAACAGGUCCCCACUCCUCCAACUCACAAAGCAGGAAAAGAGCUUGACCUCAUCCUUGCUCGGAACUGCACCACGGACAACCUAACGGUAACCCCUCUGCAUUGCUCGGACCACUUCUUCAUUCGCUUCGAUGUUCGGCUCAUUGAGCAACCCUCUGUCCCCCCUCCGAUGGUCUCGUUCCGGCGCAACCUCCGCAACCUCUCUCCCACCCACUUUUCCUCUCUGGUUUCUUCUGCUCUUCCACCUUUAUCCACUUUCUCCUCACUAGGUGUCAAUGAUGCCACCGAAGCUCUCUGCUCCACUCUGAGCUCAUGCUUGGACAGCUUGUGUCCACUUUCCACCAGACCUGCUCGAUCUACCCAGUCUCAUUCGUGGCUGAGUGAUACCCUCCGAACGCAGCGCUCCAAUCUCAGAGCGGCUGAGAGAAAGUGGCACAAAUCUGCCGCGCUGGACGAUCUUGCAAGCUACCAGACACUGCUGGCCUCCUUCUCAUCCAGCAUCACUGCUGCUAAGAAGACUUUUUUCAAUGACAAAAUCAACGGUGCAACUGACGCUCGGAAACUAUUCUCCACCUUCAAAACUCUGCUCUACCCUCCUCCUCCCCCCCCAGCUACUAACCUCACUGCUGAUAACUUUGCUUCCUUUUUCACAGAGAAAGUGGCAGCCAUCGGGCAACAGUUCGACCAACUGUCCCCCUCCCCUAAGGGCGCAACCGUCAAUAGCUCAUCUUUUCCUUCUUUCAUCCCUCUCAGCGAGAGUGAGGUCUCCAAAAUCCUAACAGGUAGCCGUCCAACUACAUGCCCGCUGGACCCCAUCCCAUCCAACAUCCUUCAAGCCAUAUCGCCU
rnacentral:lncRNA from 1 species